UCAGGCGUACGAUGGGCCUGGUUAGCGCAUCCCGGUUUGACCGGGAGGGCCGCAGGUUCGAAUCCUGCCGCCUCGA
rnacentral:tRNA from 1 species